GGGGGAUAAGCUUCCCCUUCUUACCAAACUGCAUCACUCUUUUUAUGGGGGAUACCUUUAAGAACACCCAAUCACAACCCUGAACUCCAACUCCCUUCGCCUCACAUCCACGUAGUACUUUCAAUAACUUUGGAUAGCUUUUAACCUAUACCAAAUCACCUUCACCUUCUCCAUUGGUUGGUGAACCAAAUCUGGGCUAAACACUC
rnacentral:lncRNA from 1 species